rnacentral:lncRNA from 1 species
UUAAAUACAGCACUUAGAUAAUUGGUUGUUAACAUGACACAACCAUAUAAUAAAGACAUGUAAUAAUAUAAUUGUUGUUAUACUUAGAACAUAAACCAACAAACAAACAACUUCCACUUUUAAAACCUACAAUUUCUUCUAUACAAAGUUGUUUCCAUAGAUUAAGAUAACUUGAAAUUCCUUCCCUUCAGCGUCCAUAUGGGACACUCCCUGUAUUUU